GUGGGGAAUAUUGGACAAUGGGCGCAAGCCUGAUCCAGCCAUGCCGCGUGAGUGAUGAAGGCCCUAGGGUUGUAAAGCUCUUUUACCCGGGAAGAUAAUGACUGUACCGGGAGAAUAAGCCCCGGCUAACUCCGUGCCAGCAGCCGCGGUAAUACGGAGGGGGCUAGCGUUGUUCGGAAUUACUGGGCGUAAAGCGCACGUAGGCGGUCUUUUAAGUCAGAGGUGAAAGCCCGGGGCUCAACUCCGGAAUUGCCUUUGAAACUGGAAGACUUGAACACGGGAGAGGUGAGUGGAAUUCCGAGUGUAGAGGUGAAAUUCGUAGAUAUUCGGAGGAACACCAGUGGCGAAGGCGGCUCACUGGACCGUUGUUGACGCUGAGGUGCGAAAGCGUGGGGAGCAAACAGGAUUAGAUACCCGAGUAGUCC
rnacentral:rRNA from 1 species